UCAUGUAUUGUAAUUUUAUUAGUUAAUUGUACCUGAACUCAAUUCUAAAUUUUGCGAGAGCAGGCUUGUGUCAAACUGGGAUCUUUAACUGGGGUG
rnacentral:rRNA from 1 species